rnacentral:rRNA from 1 species
CCUACGGGAGGCAGCAGUGAGGAAUAUUGCUCAAUGGACGAAAGUCUGAAGCAGCGACGCCGCGUAAGGGAUGAAGUCCGUUUGGAUGUAAACCUCUUUUGCAGAAGAAGAAUGUUUCGAUUUCUCGAAAUUGACGGUAUUUUGCGAAUAAGCACCGGCUAACUACGUGCCAGCAGCCGCGGUAAUACGUAGGGUGCGAGCGUUGUCCGGAAUUACUGGGUGUAAAGGGUCCGCAGGCGGGCGAGUAAGUCUGUGGUGAAAUCUUACGGCUUAACCGUAAAUUGCCACGGAAACUGCUUGCCUUGAGUGUGAAAGAGGAAGAUGGAAUUCAUGGUGUAGCAGUGAAAUGCGUAGAUAUCAUGAAGAACACCGGUAGCGAAGGCGAUCUUCUGGUUCACAACUGACGCUCAGGGACGAAAGCGUGGGGAGCAAACAGGAUUAGAUACCCUGGUAGUCCACGCCCUAAACCAUGGAUACUCGAUGUCGGAUCGAAAGNUUCGGUGUCUGAGCAAACGCAAUAAGUAUCCACCUGGGGAUACGAUCGCAAGGUUGAAACUCAAAGAUAGACGGCGNGAGAGAGACGACGACGACGACGACGGAGGAGGAGG